rnacentral:sRNA from 1 species
UUAUAUUCUCCACAGGGGGGGAUGAGAACCCCCGUCCGGGGUUCGACAACUGGCGCAGCCAUUUGGACAGACCGCGCACGCAGUAAGCGGGCUGCCCCGCAGGGGCGAGCGAAGCGAGUCAAUCCCCCCCUCACCGCCA